UAUGUAUUCAUUUACUUAAAAAUAAUAAUAAUGAAACCAUUACAUAUUAAUAUAUUUUUACAAAAAAAGUGUAGUUUUCAAAACAAAAAAUUUAGAGAAGAGUGGUAUUCUUUUACAUUUUUGCAUAUCUCAUUAAUAUGUCUUAACAAAGACAGCUGGAUUAUCUAUGACCUUCUGCAUUCAACCUAUUGCACUACACUCUUCUGUUGAAGAAAAUCCAGCUUCACAAGAAUGUGGUAAUGGAAGAAUCCUUGAAAGUGUCUGAAGCCCAAGACCACAUUUAGAGAACUACUGUACUAGAUAAACACAAGUCAAAGCCUUUCUUUUUUUAAAGAAAGCUAAAUUACCAUACUGGCUGGUCAAAAUUUGUAAGUUAUAUACCAAUCCAAAAAGUAAAGCAAUAAUUUUGAACUGUUGGGGAAUUCAGGUGAUUAAAAAAAAAACUAAGAAAAAAUAUUUACUGAACAUUAGUUAUGUGUAAGGCAUUGUGUUUACAAACACAAAGAAGCAAAGUACACAUCAUCCCAAAUAUUACUUUGUGUUCAUCCUGUUACACAAAACCAGAAAAACAGGAAUGUUUGCAAUGAAAAUAACUGAAAUAAAAUAUGCUUUUGGUAUAAUCCAUUUAACAAAAAAUCCUAAAUACAACACCUGAUGUGCCAGGGUUCACAUUAAUAAUCUUUACUAUGAAAGGUCUCUGAAGGUAAAGCUUGGAAGAAAGGUUUAAAAAAAAAAAAAAAAACUGUUAACAACAAAAAACUUUAGAACAGACCACCUCAAGGAACAACUUUCUAGAUAUUGCCUGUAUUCAUUAGAAAUGUAUUAAAGUAUGAUAGG